rnacentral:rRNA from 1 species
AUUGAACGCUGGCGGCAUGCUUUACACAUGCAAGUCGAACGGUAACAGGGUGCUUGCACCGCUGACGAGUGGCGAACGGGUGAGUAAUGCGUCGGAACGCACCGAGUAAUGGGGGAUAACGCAGCGAAAGCUGCGCUAAUACCGCAUACGCUCUGAGGAGGAGAGCGGGGGACCUUCGGGCCUCGCGUUAUUCGAGCGGCCGGCGUCUGAUUAGCUAGUAGGUGAGGUAAGAGCUCACCUAGGCGACGAUCAGUAGCGGGUCUGAGAGGAUGAUCCGCCACACUGGGACUGAGACACGGCCCAGACUCCUACGGGAGGCAGCAGUGGGGAAUAUUGCACAAUGGGCGCAAGCCUGAUGCAGCCAUGCCGCGUGUAUGAAGAAGGCCUUCGGGUUGUAAAGUACUUUCAGCGGGGAGGAAGGCGGUGAGGUUAAUAACCUCGCCGAUUGACGUUACCCGCAGGAGAAGCACCGGCUAACUCCGUGCCAGCCGCCGCCGUAA